rnacentral:rRNA from 1 species
GACGAACGCUGGCGGCGUGCUUAACACAUGCAAGUCGAACGGAAAGGCCCUGCUUUUGUGGGGUGCUCGAGUGGCGAACGGGUGAGUAACACGUGAGUAACCUGCCCUUGACUUUGGGAUAACUUCAGGAAACUGGGGCUAAUACCGGAUAGGAGCUCCUGCUGCAUGGUGGGGGUUGGAAAGUUUCGGCGGUUGGGGAUGGACUCGCGGCUUAUCAGCGUGUUGGUGGGGUAGUGGCUUACCAAGGCUUUGACGGGUAGCCGGCCUGAGAGGGUGACCGGCCACAUUGGGACUGAUAUACGGCCCAGACUCCUACGGGAGGCAGCAGUGGGGAAUAGUGCACAAUGGGCGGAAGCCUGAUGCAGCAACGCCGCGUGCGGGAUGACGGCCUUCGGGUUGUAAACCGCUUUCGCCUGUGACGAAGCGUGAGUGACGGUAAUGGGUAAAGAAGCACCGGCUAACUACGUG